UAUUACUACGAUAUAUUUCAAAUAGUUGUUACGUUUAACUCUCCUCAGGAUUGUAACCCCAUAAGAUUUGUAAUAAAAUGCUCGAUUAAUGGUCAAAUACACCAUAUCAAUACGGUCGAUGAGAACACCGCGGUGGGAGUCAUUCAGUUGAUAGAACAUUUAUCUUGCAAAGAUGAUGUGGAAGUAUCUGUUGUGUCUUAUGGCGAAGAUGAUGUCGAACUUGGGGAAUCAGAUGUUGUGGAAGUGGUAAUAAAACCAUGUAAAGAAUGUGAAGCCGAAAUUACUGGUAUAGAAUAUGAUGGGCGUUCUCAAUUAAUUCUUUCAAUUAUUCCUCCGCAAUCGAUUUGUGAUGAAGCUGCAAGCAUCAAACUAAAAAGUUAUAUCGAUGAUGACACCACUAUUCAUGGUAAUAUUUACAUCGAGGAUACAGUGGGAAUUAUUUCAUUAUCGGAACCGUUAAGUUGCGAAUCUGAUGUUAAAGUAACGACAGAAACUUACGAUGUAAAUGAUUUGAUCGUUGUUGAAUCACAUAUG